rnacentral:lncRNA from 13 species
UGUCAUCUUAUCAUUGAUGAGAAUGUCUCAGAUGACAACCGAACUGACAUCAUAUUCAUUAAGUACCAACCCAUAUGUUCAACUGGUCGGAUUACUAAAAUAUAGUUAAUUUCCCCCCACCUUCUGAUGUUCCCAGAAUCUCUAUGUUAACCAAAGGAUUUUCAAUAGUCCCAACAGUAGGGUAGAGAGAGGAAAAGGGUGGUGGGUAUUUAUGACUGUCAUAAACCUACUCCCAGGCAACGUCAUGACACUGUUAACGCUCCAUAUUACUGUAGACACUGUUAACGCUCUAUAUUACUGUAGACACUUAACGCUCCAUAUUACUGUAGACACUGUUAACGCUCCAUAUUACUGUAGACACUGUUAACGCUCCAUAUUACUGUAGACACUGUUAACGCUCCAUAUUACUGUAGACANUUAACGCUCUAUAUUACUGUAGACACUGUUAACACUCCAUAUUACUGUAGACACUGUUAACGCUCCAUAUUACUGUUAACGCUCCAUAUUACUGUAGACACUGUUAACGCUCCAUAUUACUGUAGACACUGUUAACGCUCCAUAUUACUGUAGACACUGUUAACGCUCCAUAUUACUGUAGACAC